rfam:Halanaerobium saccharolyticum subsp. saccharolyticum DSM 6643, type strain:DSM 6643, WGS project CATI01000000 data, contig: c12
CUCUUAUUAAGAGUGGUGGAGGGAUCGGACCCGUUGAAACCCAGCAACCCCCGUCAGGGAAGGUGCUAAUUUCCGCAGCAGUUGUGCUGAAAGAUAAGAA